UCCGGCUUAACGCCGGCAGUCUCCCUAGAGUGCCCAACUGAAUGGUGGCAACUAAGGACGAGGGUUGCGCUCGUUGCGGGACUUAACCCAACACCUCACGGCACGAGCUGACGACAGCCAUGCAGCACCUGAACCGGCAGUCCCCGAAGGGAAAAUCCUAUUUCUAGGACGGUCCGCCGUUGUCUAGCCCAGGUAAGGUGGGGAUGACGUAAGCCUAUCGAGA
rnacentral:misc_RNA from 1 species